rnacentral:rRNA from 1 species
CCUACGGGUGGCAGCAGUGGGGAAUAUUGCGCAAUGGGCGAAAGCCUGACGCAGCGACGCCGCGUGAGGGAUGAAGGUCUUCGGAUCGUAAACCUCUGUCUGCAGGGCAGAACGGUCACUGUCCUAAUCAGCCGUGAAUUUACGCUACCUGCAAAGGAAGCACCGGCUAACUCCGUGCCAGCAGCCGCCGUAAUGCGGAGGGUGCGAGCGUUAAUCGGAAUUACUGGGCGUAAAGCGCUCGUAGGCGGUAUGUCAAGUCAAGGGUGAAAUCCCCGGGCUGAACGUGGGAACUGCCUGUGAAACUGGCAAACUGGAGUGUGUGAGAGGAUAGUGGAAUUCGAGGUGUAGGAGUGAAAUGCGUAGAUAUCUGGAAGAACAUCAGUGGCGAAGGCGACGAUCUGGCACAUAACUGACGCUGAGGAGCGAAAGCGUGGGUAGCAAACAGGAUUAGAUACCCUUGUAGUC